rnacentral:rRNA from 1 species
UACAGAGGGUGCAAGCGUUGUUCGGAAUCAUUGGGCGUAAAGCGCGUGUAGGCGGUGACUUAAGUCUGGUGUGAAAGCCCUUGGCUUAACCAAGGAAGUGCACUGGAUACUGGGUCGCUAGAGGACGGGAGAGGGUAGUGGAAUUCCUGGUGUACCGGUGAAAUGGGUAGAUAUCAGGAAGAACAUCGGUGGCGAAGGCGGCUACCUGGCCCGUAUCUGACGCUGAGACGCGAAAGCGUGGGGAGCAAACAGG